AGCGAACGCUGGCGGCAGGCUUAACACAUGCAAGUCGAGCGGGCGUAGCAAUACGUCAGCGGCAGACGGGUGAGUAACGCGUGGGAACGUACCUUUUGGUUCGGAACAACACAGGGAAACUUGUGCUAAUACCGGAUAAGCCCUUACGGGGAAAGAUUUAUCGCCGAAAGAUCGGCCCGCGUCUGAUUAGCUAGUUGGUGAGGUAACGGCUCACCAAGGCGACGAUCAGUAGCUGGUCUGAGAGGAUGAUCAGCCACAUUGGGACUGAGACACGGCCCAAACUCCUACGGGAGGCAGCAGUGGGGAAUAUUGGACAAUGGGCGCAAGCCUGAUCCAGCCAUGCCGCGUGAGUGAUGAAGGCCCUAGGGUUGUAAAGCUCUUUUGUGCGGGAAGAUAAUGA
rnacentral:rRNA from 1 species